AAGAGAUUUGAGUUUCAGAGUCUGCUCAACAGUGUUGCAUACAAAAGAAGGCAAAGGAACUGAACACGGACCUCAUGUGACCUUCACCACCCGAUCAGUUUAUCCAGGCAAGCACCAUACAUCCUUAUCACCAAGAAGAAACUACCCUUUGUGGGAACUCACCAGGAGGAAAAAGAGCAGGGGUCAGUUGGAAGAGCCAUUUGUCCUGUGCUGAAUUAGAGACUGCUGAGUUGUGCUGAAACCUAGUUCUCUUUGACUGAUAUUCAAAUGUCAUCAUAUGCUCCCUACACAUACAAGUCAAAGAGCUGGAGGAAAGGAUUGCAACAUGAGUGUGCUUUAUGAUAGUCCCUGGUGAAAUAAGUGGCCCUGGAUAAUGUUUCAGGAUAAUCCUUUAGGUCAUUGUUCUAUACCCACUUCCUUUACCAGCUGUCAAGGUGGCUCAUAUCAAAUUCUUCUUAAUGGGAGGAUCCAUUUCUACCUCCACUUUGCCCCAACCAAGACACACAAGCAUAUUUUCACACUGCUUUCAAAUGAUUUCUUAUCAAUUACCCCUUUUGGUUCCCCUUAUAAUGAAGAAGAAAUAGAUCCACACAUGGAAAGUGAAAGAGAUGUAGCUGAUAAUGCUAUGUGACAUGGACUAUGUCACUUCUGCCUCUGUCUGCAGUUUGCUUCCUCUGGUUUUGAAAAUUCACAGAAAAAAAUCAAUCAAUAAAUCAAUAAAACGGACCCCUCAUUUCUUCCUAUCCCAGAAUCCCACAGUUUCUAAAAUUAUUUUCCUGGAUGCAAAGGAAAGUAGACAUGUCUCUCUAUAGGAUCAUUCGUGUAUCCAAUUACUGUUUAUGCACCUGGUAUUCUAGCAGUGCUCCUAUUUAUCCCAUUUUUCUAUAGAGGAAAACAUGUUCUGUUCAGAGUCUGGUUCUGGUCUGCCUGGAGGCACAUGACAUCAAUUUCUCCCAGUA